GACGAACGCUGGCGGCGUGCUUAACACAUGCAAGUCGAACGAAGAGCGAUGGACGCUUGCUUCUAUCAAUCUUAGUGGCGAACGGGUGAGUAACGCGUAAUCAACCUGCCCUUCAGAGGGGGACAACAGUUGGAAACGACUGCUAAUACCGCAUACGAUCUAAUCUCGGCAUCGAGGAUAGAUGAAAGGUGGCCUCUACAUGUAAGCUAUCACUGAAGGAGGGGAUUGCGUCUGAUUAGCUAGUUGGAGGGGUAACGGCCCACCAAGGCGAUGAUCAGUAGCCGGUCUGAGAGGAUGAACGGCCACAUUGGGACUGAGACACGGCCCAGACUCCUACGGGAGGCAGCAGUGGGGAAUCUUCCGCAAUGGACGAAAGUCUGACGGAGCAACGCCGCGUGAGUGAUGACGGCCUUCAGGUUGUAAAGCUCUGUUUAUCGGGACGAAAGGCCUUCUUGCGAACAGUUAGAAGGAUUGACGGUACCGGAAUAGAAAGCCACGGCUAACUACGUG
rnacentral:rRNA from 1 species